rnacentral:ncRNA from 10 species
AUCGUUCAUCUCUUAUGAGACGGAAGUAGGUGAAAACCGAAGAACGCCGC